AAGACUCUACUUUCAGGGAUCAUUUCUUUAGUUUGGAACUAGAGGAUUGUGUUUCUACAGAGGAUGGUCUUGCUGUCCAUGAUGAUGAAGGAAGAUGUUUCCUUCAGAGCAGGAAGCUGGUGAGAAGAUGAGAAUCUUCUUCACUGAUGAAGACUGUUCAGUGUUUCUGGAUGUGACACUGAAGGAGAAAACAUUGUCUGAGUGGA
rnacentral:snoRNA from 2 species